GACGAACGCUGGCGGCAUGCCUAAUACAUGCAAGUCGAGCGAACAGAUGAAGUGCUUGCACUUCUGACGUUAGCGGCGAACGGGUGAGUAACACGUAAGGAAUCUACCUAUAAGCGGGGGAUAACAUUCGGAAACGGGUGCUAAUACCGCAUAAUAUCUUCUUCCGCAUGGAAGAAGAUUGAAAGACGGCUUUGCUGUCACUUAUAGAUGACCUUGCGGUGCAUUAGUUAGUUGGUGGGGUAAUAGCCUACCAAGACGAUGAUGCAUAGCCGACCUGGGAGGGUGAUCGGCCACAUUGGGACUGAGACACGGCCCAAACUCCUACGGGAGGCAGCAGUAGGGAAUCUUCCGCAAUGGGCGAAAGCCUGACGGAGCAAUGCCGCGUGAGUGAAGAAGGCCUUCGGGUCGUAAAACUCUGUUAUAAGAGAAGAACAAAUUGUAGAGUAACUGCUACAGUCUUGACGGUAUCUUAUCAGAAAGCCACGGCUAACUACGUGCCAGCCGCCGCUGUAA
rnacentral:rRNA from 1 species